CUAGUUUUUUAUUUUCUACCAAUACAAGAUUUAGAAUGUUAUUUAUUUUUAGUUUUAAACCAGACCUCCUACCAUAGUUGAUAGUAUGUUCCUUCUGUACAGUAACAAACUGUUGCUCUCUCUCUCUCUCUCUCACCGAUUUUCUCUCAGCACCUGCCCGAACAGCUGAUUCUUUAUUUACCACUCAAUUUUCGAUGGAAAACGCCAGCGCGAAGACAAUUGGAAAUCGCUUAGUUAAAUAAAUAGAGAUCCGUGGUCGCAUGAUGUUUGGGAACCUAAAAAAGAAGCUGAGCAGUGCGAUUCAGGAGGGUCUUGUGAUCUCGGAGAGUCUGCAACAGCAAUAUCGCCAGCGUGUCAGUUCCGGGAACUCGGGGAGCAGCCAAGCCAGUGGUUUUACGACCCCCACUUCGCCAUUGGGCCUCAACGAGAGUUUGUCAUCCAGCAGGAGCAGUAGUCUAUCCCUUAGUGCUCCCUUUCAGCUAACCGAUGGAGUGCCCAGCCAUCUAAAUGUGGCAGCGGGUUGCAGUUUGCUGGCCAAAUAUGAGGACGAUUGGCAGCAGAUCCAUGGCGCCAACGAAGAGAACGCUGAGAAGGCUGCAAAGAUUGCUUGCCAAAUCUCCGGAAUCCAAAACAAGGCCAGCCAUCAGCGUAGGAUCAUUAGUGAGCUGAACAACAGUCUGGCGGGGAUUCCCACGUUGAUCGCUCAAUUGCAGGCGAGCUCACAGGUCCUUAAUUCCCUAGAGGAAAUGGGUCAGCAAUUAGAGGUUGAGUUGGAGAAGCUGGAAGAUCUAUGCGAGGAGUGCGAGCUACAAGAGUUCAUCCUCGAGCAGCAGUUUCAGCUUUCCAGACACAAGCAAAAGAAACUAAACGAACUGGAGCAGUUUCGCCAGCAAAUUGCCCAGAAACACCAAUCCAAAAUCAAAGAUCAGGAGCAGACCCUACUGAAGCUACAGAGGGAACGACAGGCUGUCUUCGACGACGCCUUCCGAGAAGAUAUGGAGGAGUACAAACAGCACGGCCAGCUGACAAAAAUUCAAACCACCAGCAACAAGUUGGCUCUGGAGGAAGUCGUCCUUGAAGCCAGCGAAGUGGAAACAAAGGAUGCUUUGGAGCAAUUUCUGAAUGGUUAACUCCGUUGUUUGCUUAUCUUGCAAAAGACUACAAUUUGUGCCUUAAAGUGCAAUAAGCAGUCUUACACCUGUCGCAGCUUUUAUUGCUCCCCGCAUUGCCCCCCAAGUUUCCGUACCCAUUCCUGGAUUUCGAGCUUAUGGGCGC